GGGAUUGCCCUAGUAACGGCGAGUGAAGCGGCAACAGCUCAAAUUUGAAAUCUGGCCCUCGGGUCCGAAUUGUAAUUUGUAGAGGAUGCUUUUGGUGCGGUGCCUUCCGAGUUCCCUGGAACGGGACGCCAGAGAGGGUGAGAGCCCCGUACGGUUGGACACCUACCCUAUAUAUAGCUCCUUCGACGAGUCGAGUAGUUUGGGAAUGCUGCUCUAAAUGGGAGGUAAAUUUCUUCUAAAGCUAAAUACCGGCCAGAGACCGAUAGCGCACAAGUAGAGUGAUCGAAAGAUGAAAAGCACUUUGAAAAGAGGGUUAAAUAGCACGUGAAAUUGUUGAAAGGGAAGCGUUUGUGACCAGACUUUUUCUUAGUGGAUCAUCCGGUGUUCUCACCGGUGCACUUCACUGGGUUUAGGCCAGCAUCGGUUUCCGGAGGGGGACAAAAGCAUGGGGAAUGUGGCUCUUUCGGGAGUGUUAUAGCCCCUAGCAUAAUACCUCUCCUGGGGACCGAGGACCGCGCUUCGGCAAGGAUGCUGGCGUAAUGGUUAUCAACGACCCGUCUUGAAACACGGACCAAGGAGUCGAACAUUUGUGCGAGUGUUUGGGUAUCAAACCCUCACGCGUAAUGAAAGUGAACGGAGGUGAGAGCCCCUCGGGGUGCAUCAUCGACCGAUCCUGAUGUCUUCGGAUGGAUUUGAGUAAGAGCAUAACUGUUCGGACCCGAAAGAUGGUGAACUAUGCGUGGAUAGGGUGAAGCCAGAGGAAACUCUGGUGGAGGCUCGCAGCGGUUCUGACGUGCAAAUCGAUCGUCAAAUCUGCGCAUGGGGGCGAAAGAUUAUCGAACCUCUAUACUGUCGGCCCACCA
rnacentral:rRNA from 1 species